rnacentral:lncRNA from 1 species
CCCUAGGGAGGAGCUUGGCUCUCGGCGGCGGGCGGCGGGCACGGCGACAGCCUGCUCCGGUGGAUCUGGCGACGCGUCCUCGGGAAGGCCGAAUCCGCCGCCCUAGGGGCUCUCGGCGGCAGGCGGCGGGCACGGCGACGGCCUGCGGCGGCGGAUCCGGUGGCGCCGUCGCAGAGGCGGAGGACAACGGCACGUCAGAGGCGGAGGACCCAUCGGCCAGGCCGGCAGCGAGACGGUGGCGGAGCUGCGGAGGCGGGCCGGCGUGGAUGGGGUCGGUGGAGGUGGCGGCGACCUGGUACGGUGGCGGGAGGGAGUCAAUGCGAGGGGGUUCAGGCGAGGCUAGCGGCGUGGCUCGCACCGCGGCGGCUCCUCUCCUCCAGCGGCAAGGUGCUCGGCGAGGAGGAGAAGGCUGCCGAGAACAUCUACAUCAAGGUGGAGAUAACAUGCAGAGGGAGACAGCUCCUCCCGAUCCUGACAUUGCAGCAUGUCCGUGACAUCAUGCUGCUAAGCUCACUUGGAAGAUCUUGGUCAUGCGACAUCUGGCAUUUUGACAAGAACCUCCAGUGCAUAGGACUGUGGCUUACCUCUGGGCUGUGGCAGCAUCCACAGAUCUUAUGUGCAGGUGUGCUGGCAGAGGGGAUCGUGUACGUCUUCGAUGAGCGGCGGACAGCGGACGACCUGGAAGUGGCGGUGACUUGGCGACAGGAAUUCGGGGCGGCGCGGGGCGUGGCGGCGAGCGGCGGACAACCUGGACCCGACGGAGACCUGGCGACGGGAGUUCGACGUGGUGGAUGA